GAUGAACGCUGGCGGUAUGCUUAACACAUGCAAGUCGAACGGACUCUUCGGAGUUAGUGGCGGACGGGUGAGUAACGCGUGCGAAUCUGGCUUUGGGUUCGGGACAACCACUGGAAACGGUGGCUAAUACCGGAUGUGCCGAGAGGUAAAAGAGAAAUUGCCUGAAGAUGAGCUCGCGUCUGAUUAACUAGUUGGUGAGGUAAAGGCUCACCAAGGCAGCGAUCAGUAGCUGGUCUGAGAGGAUGACCAGCCACACUGGGACUGAGACACGGCCCAGACUCCUACGGGAGGCAGCAGUGGGGAAUUUUCCGCAAUGGGCGAAAGCCUGACGGAGCAAUACCGCGUGAGGGAAGAAGGCUCUUGGGUUGUAAACCUCUUUUCUUAGGGAAGAACAAAAUGACGGUACCUAAGGAAUCAGCAUCGGCUAACUCCGUG
rnacentral:rRNA from 1 species